AGUUCUUAGAGCAGGAAGGAUAUCAGAAUAGGACGCACAUUUAAACUGGCUAAUUUCUUUAAGGCAAGGGUCAAGUUAUAACAGGCAAGGCUCUAGGCAAAGAAAGGAAGUCUUGAACUAGUCACCAGGUCUUCAGGUAUUGUCGUUGCACAACUGAUGAGCACUUCUGGUUCUCACUCCAAGUCAUUCUACAGUGAUAAUGGAUGUCUCUUAUUAGGCCAGACAAUGUAGAUGAUUUAUCUCUGUGUACCGUGUACCAGACUGUCCACAUUCCAUCUCAUUUAAAUCUCAACAAUACUGUCAAGUCGGCAUUAUUCAUCUUUCCUUUUGACAGAGGUGGAAAUUGAGGCACUGGCCCAAAAUGUAGCAGCUAGAAGCCCCCAAGUCAAUACUAAGUCUUCUCCCACAUCAGUAUCUCGCUGCCUCUCCUGUGGGUGUGACUCCACGAACGCUGUAGCCCUCAUUCCCAGAUUUCCCUCUGCUUGGUCUUCAAGUAACAGAGGUGCACCUCUCAAAAUUUCCAUAUACAGCAGUCAUACACCUUUGUACUCAGAAGGUCUCUUCCCAUUUCUCUCCCUCCUUGCUCAAAAUAAAUCCAUGUAAAAUAAUGAUCAUUUAAAGGGUGUUCAAUCUCAUUAGUCAAACAGAAAAUGCAAAUGGAAACCAAACCGAAAUGAGAUACAAUUACACUCCCACCAGACGAAAUAGCUCAAGUGAAAAGCACGGAUAAUACCAAGUGUUGACAAGACUAUGGAGCAACGGGAACUCAUAUAAUGGUGGGAACGUAAAUUGGCAUAACUUUUAAAAUUGUUUGACAGUGUCUGCUAAAACGAAAUAUAUACCUUCCCAGAUACAGAUCCAACAGAAUUGGGCACAUGUUCAAAAUGCUCAGAGUAGUACUAUUCAUGCUAGCUAAAAAAAAACUGGGAAUACCCACCAACAGUAAAAUGGAUAAAUAAAUUAUACUAUAUUUACAAAAUGAAUGAGAAAUGAAUAAACCUGUAACUCACAUAACAACAUGGAUGAAUCUCAGACAUAAUACAGAACAAUGAUUUUACACACAAGAGUAUAUACCAUAUGGUUUCAGUUAUAGGAAAUACCAAAACUGUUUUGAUCAGGAUAUUGGUUACCCUCAGCAGCAGGGAACAUGAAGGCUGGAAGGAGAUAAGAGGCUUCUGGGGUACUGGUAAUAUUCUGUUUCUUGAUCUGGGUACUGAACACAAGUACAUUCCCUAUAUGAAAAUUAAUUGAACUCUACUCAUAAUACACACACAUUAAACUUAAAACUAAGAGCUUAAAAAAAAGGCUUAUAGCCUCUUCUUUCCAGGCCACACCAUCCAUCUCCCCCAAUAAUUUCCACUUUCAAGAGGAUGGAGUUACAAAUCCAGACAGCCUGUGUCUGAAAUCCAUAGUCAUCGGUCCCUAGGACUGAGGUUCCCAGGUCUGACUACCCCACCCAACCUGCACACACACACACACACACACACACACUGCCGCACACACCUUGGUCUUGCACCAUGAAGGUGACAGCCUCGAAGUCACUGGGCUUUAGAAUCUGAUAGAUUCCCAACUCUACUACUUACCUAUUGUGGGGCUUUAGGCAAAUCCCUUCAUCUCUCCAAGCCCCACCACAGGUAAGUAGCAAACAGAACAGUAGCACAUGCUGUUUGUUGUCUACCCCCAAAUCAAGCCUCCCCACCUCUCUGCUGCCCACUGCAGCUGAGCACCCUAGUUGUGGGACUUCCUAGCCUCUCAGAUCACUAGACCAAGGGCAUAUGACCCUUCAAAAUGCUGAAGAUGGGAGGGCAGAAGCAUGAGAGGGCAUUUGUGUUCUUGAUUGGCAAACUGUUGUAGCAACCCUUGAACCCUGACUCUGGACAAUUGAAUUGGAGGGAGAGAGAGGCCCUGGGUGAUCUCUCCUGAGGAACUUGGGCAUGGGGGCACUGAGCUCCUCAACUCCCUCCAUGAGAGCUGAGAGAUGAAAGAGGUUUUUCCAGGCUGCAGGGAAAGUCCCAGAGGAGGAUGAGGAACUAGGCAUAUUAGAGCCAACUGUGAGUUGUUCACAAGGGCUUUCUUGUAUCAUUGUCAACAGUAUUUGUUCAAUGCCUAUGAGUUCCCUGUACCCUACUGUGUGCUGAGGACACAGUGGUAGACAAAACAGACAGGAUCUCUACCUAUCAAAUGUCAGUUCAAGGGAACACAGACUUUCCAACUUCCCAACUUUCUAAAUCAUUGUGAGCAUAACUGAGAGCAUAUCCCCACCUCCACACUUUGAAAUCCAUCAAUAAUCAAAGGACACCCCCAGAGUCCCUGGCUUGAGGUUUUUCAAGAUGAAUUGUUUUGAAGGAAAGUGAAUGUUUAUUGAGAAUCUUGCAUGUGUAAGACUUGGGUCUAUAAAGAUGGGGUCCAUUUUCUCCCCUCAGGGAGCUUAAAUUCUGGGGUAGUUGGCACAGGAAAAAUGUUUGAUCAAAUUAUCCUGCCUGAGGGAACCACAGGGAAGGUCCAGAGCAGCUGAGUCAGCUUUGGGGAUGAGGUGACCUUACAGGUGGUAGGAUUCCAUCAGGCAGAAAAGGACAGGAGAUGGCCCACAAGAUCAAGUUGAGGGGCACUGCCCAAAUGGGGGAAGAACAAGCAGAGGAUGGAGAUAGGAAAUGAACUGACCCAGACACAUGGUUUGCACCCUGGUCAGAGGACCUUAAAUACUCAGCCCAAGAAUUUAGACUGCAUCCUAUGCAAAGGGACAUUUCAGGGCAGGAAGUAAUGUGACAGAGCCGGUGCUGUGGGAAGAUUACAUUGGCAUCUGUAAGGGAGGUGAUUAAGGAGGAGACCCUGGAAGCAGCAAACUGAGGCCUGAGCAGAUUUAGAGCUUUCAGAGGGGCUCACACCCUUUGGGUUUGAUUCCUGGCUCAGCAGCUUUGCUGAGUAAGACUGUGCAAAUCCUGCUGUGGAAGACUGGUUACCCCCCAAUAUCCAUUUCUUCUUCUCUCCUUUCUAACAAAAUACUGAGUUUGUCUGGGGCAGUAAAAUUCCCUGUUAAAAAUAUUCACCUCCUUCAAAUCUAGCCAAAGAUGCACACAUUUCUGGUCAGUGAGGUGUAGAAAGCAUUUUAUAGUGGGGCUUCUGGAAAGGUUUUGUUUUCUUGAAAAAGACAUUGGUCCAAACAGCACAAAAUUUUUCCCCACUCACUUCUUCCAGCCUGGAACUCAGUCAUGAUGCCUAGAAGUGAUCCAUGCAUCCAUUUGUGAUCCUGAGGAUACAAGCUACAAGUCAAGGAUGGUAGAGCAGGAAGAUAGCAGGAGUCUUGAUUCUUAAUGACUCUUUUGAACAACUGUACCAACCUGGACUGCCUAUCUCUAGACAUCCUAUUACAUAAAAAAACUGUCUAACUUGUUUAAAGUUUAUCUUACACAGCCAAAUGUAAGUCCUAACUGAUAUACAUGGCUACUCUGAAUGCCUCACUUUCUCCCUCUCUCCAUGAUCUCAUAGCCUGGAACAGGAAUGGAUUAUGCAUCUGCUAUGUGCUUUUCAAAAACUGCCCACAACAGCCAUGGAAGAGGCCCUCAGUCUAUGCUGCCCACUUGGUCCCAGCUCUCUCAGCCUUGCAGGGCCUCCCUAGCUUGCCUGAAUCCUCCAGAGACCAGGAGGUAAUGUCAACUGGGACAACCCUAGGACUUCAGAUCUCCAGCUGUGAAUCCCAGGCAAGAGUCCUAGACCAGCAGCCAGAAGUCCUGGGAUCCCAGAUCACCUCUGCUGUUAAUCAGGACAUGACCUUGACCCAAUCAUUCCUACUUCCUUUGAGUCUCAGUCACCCCAUCUUGGGAAUGUGGGAUCAAGCCAGGUUUUCAAAGUAUAUGUCAAUUAGCUUGCAAUUAACUGUAAAUAAUAAAAGCAAGCGAACACACAAACAACGAAAAGCAAAAACAAAAAGAUUGGAUCCUGCGUUGCUGUGGCUCUGGCGUAGUCUGACAGCUACAGCUCCAAUUAGACCCCUAGCCUGGGAACCUCCAUAUGCCGCAGGAGUGGCCC
rnacentral:lncRNA from 1 species